rnacentral:tRNA from 1 species
GGGCCCGUAGCUUAGCACGGUAGAAGUAUGCCGAGAGCGCUCGGCUCUUAACCGAGACCGUGAAGGCGGGACUGGUCGCGGGUUCAAAUCCCGCCGGGCCCG